GGUUUAUUGGAGGGAUGAAGGGCAGCAAUCCCAGUGAGCAGCUGCAGCUGAUGGCACAUCCCUGACCCUGGAUAACUCACACUUCCUGAUCAGGACAUCAAACCUGGGGAAAAGGAACAGCCCUGCUCUAAAGGAGCACAAAAGCAGCUUCCAAAGGAAAGGUAAUUUCCAAAGAGGAGCCAAGAUCUGGAUUGGGUUUUUCCACGUGGUCACCCCCAGGAACAACAUUUGCACAAUUCCCUUAGGAUUGCCCCCAGUGCCAGAGCUGGCACCUUAGAGAAGGGCUGGAGCAGGCCAAUUAACCUUUUAAUUAAGUUAAUUAAUAAACUCCAGCCCUGAAUUU